rnacentral:misc_RNA from 1 species
GGAAGUAAAAGUCGUAACAACGUUUCCGUAGGUGAACCUGCGGAAGGAUCAUUCAUAAUAAGUGUUUUAUGGCACCUUUUUAAAUCCAUAUCCACCUUGUGUGCAAUGUCAGGGUUGAUUUUUCUCUCGAGAGGAUCAACCCCAAACAUCAACUAUAUCUCAACUCUUUGUCUGAAAAAUAUUAUGAAUAAAACAAUUCAAAAUACAACUUUCAACAACGGAUCUCUUGGCUCUC